rnacentral:rRNA from 1 species
CCUACGGGAGGCAGCAGUGGGGAAUAUUGCACAAUGGGCGAAAGCCUGAUGCAGCGACGCCGCGUGAGGGAUGACGGCCUUCGGGUUGUAAACCUCUUUCAGCAGGGAAGAAGCGAAAGUGACGGUACCUGCAGAAGAAGCACCGGCUAACUACGUGCC